GCCAGAGUAGUGUAGUGGUUUGAGUGUUGGAGUAUAACUCUGUGGACCAGAGUUCAAAUCCCUGCUUGAGCA
rnacentral:tRNA from 1 species